rnacentral:rRNA from 1 species
UACGGAGGGCGCUAGCGUUGUUCGGAAUCACUGGGCGUAAAGGGCGCGUAGGCGGCUUGGUAAGUCACGUGUGAAAGGCCGCGGCUCAACCGUGGAGGUGCCUGUGAUACGGGCGAUCUAGAGUGUGGGAGAGGUUAGUGGAAUUGCCGGUGUAGCGGUGAAAUGCGCAGAUACUGGGAAGAACGCCGGUGGCGAAGGCGGCUCCCUGGCCCGGAGGUGACGAUGAGGUGCGAAAGCGUGGGGAGCAAACCGG